GAUGAACGCUGGCGGCGUGCCUAAUACAUGCCAGUCGAGCGAACAGACGAGGAGCUUGCUCCUCUGACGUUAGCGGCGGACGGGUGAGUAACACGUGGAUAACCUACCUAUAAGACUGGGAUAACUUCGGGAAACCGGAGCUAAUACCGGAUAAUAUAUUGAACCGCAUGGUUCAAUAGUGAAAGACGGUUUUGCUGUCACUUAUAGAUGGAUCCGCGCCGCAUUAGCUAGUUGGUAAGGUAACGGCUUACCAAGGCGACGAUGCGUAGCCGACCCGAGAGGGUGAUCGGCCACACUGGAACUGAGACACGGUCCAGACUCCUACGGGAGGCAGCAGUAGGGAAUCUUCCGCAAUGGGCGGAAGCCUGACGGAGCAACGCCGCGUGAGUGAUGAAGGUCUUCGGAUCGUAAAACUCUGUUAUUAGGGAAGAACAAAUGUGUAAGUAACUAUGCACGUCUUGACGGUACCUAAUCAGAAAGCCACGGCUAACUACGUG
rnacentral:rRNA from 1 species